rnacentral:rRNA from 1 species
UGGGGAAUCUUGCGCAAUGGGCGAAAGCCUGACGCAGCGACGCCGCGUGUGGGAAGAAGGCCUUCGGGUUGUAAACCACUUUCAGCAGGGAAGAAGCGCAAGUGACGGUACCUGCAGAAGAAGCCCCGGCCAACUACGUGCCAGCAGCCGCGGUAAUACGUAGGGGGCGAGCGUUGUCCGGAAUUAUUGGGCGUAAAGAGCUCGUAGGCGGUCCUUUAAGUCAGAUGUGAAAUCUCAGGGCUUAACCCUGAAACUGCAUCUGAUACUGGGGGACUUGAGGUAGGUAGGGGAAGGUGGAAUUCCUGGUGUAGCGGUGAAAUGCGCAGAUAUCAGGAGGAACACCCGUGGCGAAGGCGGCCUUCUGGGCCUUACCUGACGCUGAGGAGCGAAAGCGUGGGGAGCGAACAGG